rnacentral:rRNA from 1 species
AUGGCGUCCACGGCUCCUCCGCGGGAGGACCUCAUCACGGAGGACGACGAGCAGCGGCCGCCCCUCACGCGGCCCCUCCUCCACCGCAGCGCCACCAACAACAUCUCCCAGGUGGCCAUGGUCGGCUCCAAGGCCUGCCCCAUCGAGAGCCUCGACUACGAGAUCAUCGAGAACGACCUGUUCGACCAGAACUGGCGGACGAGGGCCAAGGCGGACCAGGUCCGGUACGUGGUCCUCAAAUGGACCUUCUGCUUCGCCAUCGGGAUCAUCACCGGCGUCGUCGGCUUCCUCAUCAACCUCGCCGUCGAGAACGUCGCCGGCUUCAAGCACGCCGCCGUCUCAUCCCUCAUGGAAUCCAGCAGCUACUGGACGGCCUUCUGGGUGUUCGCCGGCGCGAACCUGGCGCUGCUACUAUUCGCGUCGGCGAUCACGGCGUCGGUGUCGCCGGCGGCCGGCGGGUCGGGGAUCCCGGAGGUGAAGGCGUACCUCAACGGCGUGGACGCGCCCAACAUCUUCUCGCUCAGGACCCUCGCUGUCAAGGUCAUCGGCAACAUAGCCGCCGUGUCAUCGUCGCUGCACGUCGGCAAGGCCGGGCCAAUGGUGCACACGGGCGCGUGCAUAGCCGCCAUCUUCGGCCAGGGCGGGUCGCGCAGGUACGGCCUCACCUGGCGCUGGCUACGCUACUUCAAGAACGACCGCGACCGCCGCGACCUGGUCACCAUCGGCGCCGGCGCCGGUGUCAGCGCGGCGUUCCGCGCACCGGUCGGCGGCGUGCUCUUCGCUCUCGAGUCCCUCUCCUCGUGGUGGCGGAGCGCGCUGAUCUGGCGCUCCUUCUUCACGACGGCGGUGGUGGCGGUGGUGCUGCGGCUGUUCGUGGAGCUGUGCGGGACGGGGCGGUGCGGGAUGUUCGGCAAGGGCGGGCUCAUCAUGUACGACGUGAGCACCAUGUUCGAGGACCUCAUGACGUACCACCUCAAGGACAUCCCCAUCGUCGUCCUCAUCGGCGUCAUCGGCGCCGUCCUCGGCGCCUUCUACAACUUCCUCAUGAUGCAGGUCCUCCGCGUCUACAGCGUCGUCAACGAGCGCGGCCGCGCGCACAAGCUGCUGCUGGCGGCGGCCGUGUCCGUCCUGACGUCGUGCUGCGUGUUCGGCAUGCCGUGGUUCGCGCCGUGCCGGCCCUGCCCCGUCGCGGGGCCCAACGGCGCCUGCGGCUCCCUCAACAAGUUCCGGCGGUUCCACUGCCCGCCGGACCACUACAACGACCUGGCCAGCCUCAUGCUCAACAUCAACGACGACGCCAUCCGCAACCUCUACGCCACCGGCACCAACGACGUCUACCACCCGGGCUCCAUGCUCGCCUUCUUCCUCGCCUCCUACGCGCUCGGCGUGCUCAGCUACGGCGUGGUGGCGCCGUCGGGGCUCUUCGUCCCCAUCAUCCUCACCGGCGCCACCUACGGCCGCCUGGUGGCGAUGCUGCUGGGCAGGCACUCCGGCCUCGACCACGGCCUGGUGGCCAUCCUCGGCUCGGCGUCCUUCCUGGGCGGCACGCUCCGCAUGACGGUGUCCGUGUGCGUCAUCAUCGUGGAGCUGACCAACAACCUGCUCCUCCUGCCGCUGGUCAUGCUCGUCCUGCUCAUCUCCAAGACCGUCGCCGACUCCUUCAACGCCAGCAUCUACGACCUCAUCGUGCGCCUCAAGGGCCUGCCCUACCUCGACGGCCACGCUGAGCCCUACAUGCGGCAGCUCAGCGUGGGCGACGUGGUGGUCGGGCCCCUACGGAGCUUCAACGGCGUCGAGAAGGUCGGCCACAUCAUGCACGUCCUCCGCACCACGGGCCACCACGCGUUCCCGGUCAUCGACGAGCCGCCCUUCGCCACCGCGCCCGUGCUCUACGGCCUCGUGCUCAGGGCGCACCUCCUCGUGCUCCUCAGGAAGCGGGAGUUCCUGCCGGCGCAGGAGCGGUACCCCAAGGAGUACAGCAUCGCGGCGAGGUUCGAGGCGCAGGACUUCGACAAGCGCGGCUCCGGCAAGCAGGACACGGUGGACGGCGUGGAGCUGUCGCCGGAGGAGAUGGAGAUGUACGUGGACCUGCACCCGUUCACCAACGCCUCGCCAUACACCGUCGUGGAGACCAUGUCGCUGGCCAAGGCGCUCAUCCUCUUCCGCGAGGUCGGCCUCCGCCACCUCCUCGUCGUGCCCAAGGCCUGCGACAGGUCGCCGGUGGUGGGGAUCCUGACGAGGCACGACUUCAUGCCGGAGCACAUCCUGGGGCUGCACCCGGUGCUGCUCGGCGGCAAGUGGAAGCGGCUCCGGUGGCACAAGGCCGCCGUCGCCAAGUACUUCCGCGACCUCAUCGUGCGGCUCGCCAACUGCGGCUGA